rnacentral:rRNA from 1 species
ACGCUCGACACCUACGGGAAGGCAGCAGUGGGGAAUAUUGCACAAUGGGGGAAACCCGUGAUGCAGCGACGCCGCGUGAAGGAUGAAGUAUUUCGGUAUGUAAACUUCUAUCAGCAGGGAAGAAAGUGACGGUACCUGACUAAGAAGCCCCGGCUAACUACGUGCCAGCAGCCGCGGUAAUCUGAGCGGGCUGGCAAGGC